ensembl:lncRNA
UGGCUCUUUAGUCCUGUAGUCCCAUGGGUCUAUAGUCCUGUAGUCCCAUGGCUUUGUAGUCCCGUGGCUAUGUAGUCCUGUGUCUCUGUAGAGUCCCUGGAGCAGAGAGAGGGUUAGGGCCUUGCUCAAGGGCCCAACUGUGGGAGCUUGGUGGCCACUGUUAAUUUGAACCCCCGACCUUCUGAUCAAUAACCCAGAGACUUAACCACCACCCUAGUUCAGUGGUUCUGUAGUUCUGUGGUUCAGUGGGGUCAGUGGUAACAUGACGAUUAAGGCUCUGGGUUACUGGUUGGAAGGUUGGGGGUUCAAGCCCCAGCACUGCCAAGCUGUCACUGUUGGGCCCUUGAGCAAGGCCCUUAACCCUCUUUGCUACAAAGGGGUGCUGUAUCAUGGCUGACCCUGCACUCUGACCCCAACCUCCUAACACGCUCAGGUAUGCGAAGAAAAAGAAUUUCACUGUGCUGUAAUGUAUGUGUGACCAAUAAAGACUCAUUAUCAUUAUGUUGUUCUCUGUUUGAAGUUGCCCUGUGGGUCUGUAGUUGGUGUGUAGUUUGUUAGAUAUAUGGUUAGUCUGUACUUGUUGGGUUUUUUAGUUCUGUAGUUAGUGUGUAAUUGUUUUGAUGUAUAGUUGUGGGUCUGGCAUGCAUUGGCAUAUAUUUCUUUAAGUAUUUGUAUUUGUGAAUCAGUAGUUGGUCUGUGGGUCAGCAGUUAGUGUUUAAUUGUGGGUCUUAUGGCAGUGCUGAUUGUGGAGGGGAUAAUACCCACUUUCUGUAUCAAGGAUGACACCUUACGGGCCACUGGCUUAUAUAGACAGUGUAGCUAGUUACAUGCUAGAUAGAUGUCAAGAUGAAACAGGACAGAGAGCAUGUAGAACCCAGUGUGUGUCUGGGUGUGAAGGAUGAUUCAGAAAGGAGACAGGUGAACUUUACUCAGAGAUUCAGGCUCCCUUUAUUGUUCUUUUUUCCCACAGUGUUCUUUUUCUUCAUCGCACAUACCCAUAAACUAAAACUUCAGUGCAGGAGCAUGGUAGGGAGCAGACUCCGCUCGGUCUCGGUCUCACUGUCGUCUAUGGUGUUUCUGCAAAAAUAAACAAAGCACAUCUACUGUAAGUAAACUGGCACCAGUGUGAAUCAUCAUGUAUUACCUGCCUGUUUAUACC